UUGACUUGAGAGAGAAUUUAGAGGAAGACAAAUGUAAUACGGAAGAACAAUUCUUAAAGCUCAACGAUAGGAUAGAAAUAUUAUAUACAGCUUUACCUUUUUCAAAUUUUAUUUGUGAAGAUUCCAAUUAUUUCCUUUAUUCAUUCACCCUCCCUGAUUGAUAAUGUGUGGCUGUAGGAAGGUAAAUUUAUUUGUUGCUCAAUUGCCCUAAACUAAUAUUGUAUCUUUUGUAGCUCUGAGAUGUCUAAGGAUCAAAUGGUUGUAGAUCUUACAUCACGCACAAAAGUACUAUUCUGGAGUGGGAUUUUUCUUGGUUCAGUGUCAAUUGGAGUCCUUGCCUAUGCUGUUUCCAGGCUGGUGUGAGGGACAACUUCGUAUAAUACUGAAGUUUUGAAAUGACGUCACCAUCAAAGAAAAUAAAGGAAACAUUGUAUAUGAAGGGGACGGAGGAGUUGCAGGUGGCGCUGCAGAGUAUUCCUUUAAUGGUGAUUAUUUUUGGGGAUUUAGUAGCACUGGAGACUUCAUGGAUGACAAUGAUUUCCAAAAUACACGUUACUCUGUAUCUCUGGCAUCUUCAAAUCUCUCUGAUUUAUACACGACAGCACGCAUAUCCCCAAUUUCAAUCACAUAUUUCCAUUAUUGCU